rnacentral:rRNA from 1 species
GUACACGCUGUGACUAGCAUAUCAAUAAGCGGAGGAAAAGAAACUAACAAGGAUUCCCCUAGUAACGGCGAGUGAAGCGGGAAGAGCUCAAAUUUGAAAUCUUAAAGGGUUUCCCUUUACGAAUUGUAGUUUAAAGAAGUGUUUUCUGUUGAGGUUUUGGUAAAAGUUCUUUGGAAUAGGACAUCAUAGAGGGUGAGAAUCCCGUAUUUGACCUUUACUUUCAACUUUGUGAUACACUUUCAAAGAGUCGGAUUGUUUGGGAAUGCAGUCCAAAAUGGGUGGUAAAUUUCAUCUAAAGCUAAAUAUUGGCGGAGAGACCGAUAGCGAACAAGUACCGUGAGGGAAAGAUGAAAAGAACUUUGAAAAGAGAGUUAAACAGUACGUGAAAUUGUCAAAAGGGAAGCGUUUGACACCAGUGUUGUUUUUCUGAAAAUCAAUUAAAGAACUGUUUAUGCUAAGCUGUUUAGACUUUAUCAGCUAACUGUUUAGUUUUGAGCUUUUCUUUAAUGCACUUUUCAGUUAACAAGUCAACAUCAAUUUCUUUUGCUGUAAAAAAGCUUGAGGAAGGUGGCUUGAGAUUCGUCUUAAGUGUUUAUAGCCUCUUGCCUAUGCAGUCGGAGAGAUUGAGGUCUGCAGCGUAGAUCCUUCGGGGCUAAAUGCAUUUGUGCUAAGUUAUAACAUUUUAUAGACAACUUGUUGACUAUGAUUUGUCUUGUAGCUUACUCGCUUAUGUUAUUUUACCUACGCUUAGGAUGUUGACGCGCGUGUGUGCGUG